rnacentral:rRNA from 1 species
CCUACGGGAGGCAGCAGUGAGGAAUAUUGGUCAAUGGACGAGAGUCUGAACCAGCCAAGUAGCGUGAAGGAUGACUGCCCUAUGGGUUGUAAACUUCUUUUAUAUGGGAGUAAAAUGUUCAACGUGUGGGAUUUCGUAUGUACCCUAUGAAUAAGGAUCGGCUAACUCCGUGCCAGCAGCCGCGGUAAUACGGAGGAUCCGAGCGUUAUCCGGAUUUAUUGGGUUUAAAGGGGGCGUAGGUGGGUUGUUAAGUCAGUUGUGAAAGUUUGGGGCUCAACCGUAGAAUUGCAGUUGUAACUGGCAGUCUUGAGUACAGUAGAGGUAGGCGGAAUUCGUGGUGUAGCGGUGAAAUGCUUAGAUAUAACGAAGAACUCCGAUAGCGAAGGCAGCUCACUGGACUGCAACUGACGCUGAGGCACGAAAGUGUGGGUAUCAAACAGGAUUAGAUACCCGGGUAGUC